rnacentral:rRNA from 1 species
UGAGGAAUAUUGGUCAAUGGGCGAGAGCCUGAACCAGCCAAGUAGCGUGCAGGAUGACGGCCCUAUGGGUUGUAAACUGCUUUUAUGUGGGGAUAAAGUGCGUGACGUGUCAUGCAUUGCAGGUACCACAUGAAUAAGGACCGGCUAAUUCCGUGCCAGCAGCCGCGGUAAUACGGAAGGUCCGGGCGUUAUCCGGAUUUAUUGGGUUUAAAGGGAGCGUAGGCUGUCUAUUAAGCGUGUUGUGAAAUUUACCGGCUCAACCGGUGGCUUGCAGCGCGAACUGGUCGACUUGAGUGUGCAGGAAGUAGGCGGAAUUCAUGGUGUAGCGGUGAAAUGCUUAGAUAUCAUGACGAACUCCGAUUGCGCAGGCAGCUUACUGUAGCAUAACUGACGCUGAUGCUCGAAAGUGCGGGUAUCAAACAGG